rnacentral:snRNA from 1 species
GCUGUGCUCCUGCUAGAACCUCCAAACAAGCUUCCAAGGUCCAUUUGUAGGGGAACAUAGCAUAGUCAAGCUUCCAAGACUCCAGACACAUCCAAAUGAGGUGCUGCAUGUAGCAGUCUGCCUUUCUUA